rnacentral:piRNA from 2 species
UGGGCUUUGGACAUGCUUGGUAGUCAGGG